UUUUUUUUUUUUUUUUUUUUUUUUAAAGAAUUAUUUAUUUGAGAGUGAGCACGAGCGGGAGGGGCAGAGGGAGAGAGAGAAUCUGGAGCAGACUCCCCGCUGAGCACAGAGCCUGAUGUGGGGCUCGUGCCCAGGACCCCGAUCGCGACCCGAGCCAAAACCAAGAGUUGGACGCUUUACCGACUGAGCCCCCCGGUGCCCUGCGGCUCCUUCAGAGCUUACAUAACGUUCCAUGGUAUGAUCGUGUCGGCUUUGCCACGUUCACAGGUGCUGAGUGUCAGCUGCUCGAAGGGGGCUCCGGCAGGAGGGGAGCAGGCAUGCGUCCCAGGGGCAUUCCCGUCCGCCUGAGAGCAAGCACUCAGGAGAUAACCCAAAAGCAGUGAACAAAUCCAUCCCGGAAGGAAGCGUAAGUGCUCAGUUAGACGAAACCAUGUGAAAGCAGCAAGUGAACGGGGCAGGAAGGUGGGCGCACCUGCCCGCGGGGGCUGCGCAGCCUCCUGGCCCACACGGAGGGCAGCGGGGUGUCCCUGCCACACAGGGCAGGGGGCGGGGCCCUGAGCCGCUCUGCACCAUGGCGCAGGCCCGGCUGCAGCCCCGGGACGCUGUGUCCCCCCUGCCGUUGCGGGCUGCACAGCACUUUGGGCACAGAUUCAUUUAAAAUUGACCUUUUCUCAGUAAACUUGCCUCAGAGAACCUGUUCUGUAUUUUGGCGCUGAGGCACAUGUCAUGGACAGGGGGGAGACGCCGCUCCUCUGCGGGCACCCGUACGGGGCAGUGUGCACUUCUGUGCCCCCUACCCGCGGGGAAUCCAGCCCCCGGCACCCAGAGCAAUGCUCUUUCCCACCCCGGUAAUUUCCAGGGAGCCUGGCCUGGCAGGUGGAGCACGAUGAGCGUCUCUGGCCUCUGGGUCCCGGGGAAACCCGGGAAGGGGGCUGCGGGGGUGAGGGCCCGUCCAGGCGGGCAGGUGGGACCAAGAGGGGCGGGCUGCCCCCCCAGCCCAGCCCACGUUCUCCAGCCUCCUGCUCGGAGUGGAGACCCAGCCCCCGGGCCUCCAGCCCCCGGGCCUCUACGCAUGUGGACAUCCGUCUAGACUGGGGGCCUCCAGAGGUCAGGACAGGCUGCAUCGUGGGCCCCACACUGGCCGGCGCAGGAAUGUCAGCAAGGCGAGGGCAGGCAGCGGUUUUUGCAGCCGAGGAGCAUCUGCGGAAGCCCCGUGCUGGCUCCGUCCAGGCCUCGGGCUGUGCUGCACCCCGCCCUUCAGCCCCAGAGGCCCAGGGAGGCAGGAGGAGAGGGAGCCCAAGUUAGUGCCCCAGCUAAAUGCUCGUGGGAGGAGCAGGGCAGCACCGUUCCAUGGGAGCCAGCCUGGAGCCGGGAGCCAGCUGGAGCCCACGAGUCUCCUGUGCCGGGUGCCAAAAGGUGGCUCUCCCAGUGCCACCUGGGCCCAGAGUUGUGGGGUGGGGUCACUGACUGGACUUUUUGAAGGUUUUCAGGGUCUGGGGGCUGCCUGGCUGGUGGGACAGAGGUGACAGAAUUAGUGUAGCCUGACAGCUAUCCCUCAAGCCGCUGAGCAGAAGGUUGGGGUUGCAGGAGAGGCUUGUGGGAAACAGAGAGGGCUUCAUGGAGGUGGUGAGCUUGGAAGUGGGCCUGGGAGGGCACGUUGGCGUUCUAUGGCUGAGGCUGGGAAUGGGGGCUUACGCACAGAUGGGGGCUGGGGGGCUGUAGCAGGGCACACAGGACACGACACCCAGCAGGUGGGGUCGCGGUGGCCUGAGAGGGUGGCCUCGCUGCCUGUCACCCGCUGGCCUCUCUCUGGCUCUUCCCUAGCCUGUUUCCAUAAGAGACGCCUCCUCACCUGUCUGCGGGGUGACUCCAGGACUAAGCGCCCCAGUCUACAGCAGGAAGCCCAGGAGAGAGAGAAUCUGGGGGGGCUCCGGAUGGCCUGUGCCCCUGGGACCUGAGCUCACUGGGUCUAGUGGCCUGGAGCAGCCUCGGACAGGCCAGGGGAACCCACCAAGGACACCAUGUUGGAGUCUGGCCAUGGAGCAGCCGUGCUGUUCCCACCAGGGUCACCAGGCUGCCCACCCCGUGGAGACCCAUGUAGUACCAGGGGCCAAGGGGCCUGAGUGUGUCGGAGAUAAUGGGGGGGCUGUAGGGGGGCUGGCCCUGGGCUGUUGGGCCGUGUCAGGAGGCUGCCCAGAGGCCAGUGCCCUCCCUGGGUGGCUGCCAGGUGGGCCCCCGCUGGGAGCCAGAGCCCCGUGCCAGGCACGGCUGUGUGGCCGGAGCUGUCAGGUGCGGCUGCCUGCCGCGUUCCCUGCCGCUGGAGGUGCGUGCCUGGCCCCGGGGCUCUGGGUCUACUGGGUGGGGGGACCUGGCGGGUCCCCAUUGCCUGGGCGCAGUCAUGACUAGCAUCCCUUCACUUUCCAGGGCCUGGGUGUGGCCAGUGCACCCCCUGGGGACACCCUGUGGGGCCCACUCCUCACCCUGCUCAAGCAGACAGGCCCCCAGAUGCCACUGGAGCAAGCCUCAGCCCGGCCUAUGUGUUGGGUUGGGAACCACUGUCAUAGGGUCCAUCCUGAAAUGGGGACCGUGAGCUCGCUGGGCUGGGGGGGCCUCAGGUGGCGGGAGGGAGGCUGUGACCAGGUGGGGUGUGCGCACCUGCCCUGCAGGGUUGGAGUGCAGGAGAGUGUGUACUGGGGGCCCUUGACCUUGGGAGCCAGGGGCCUGCAGAGGCUGCAGGUGGCUCCCGGGCCCAGAGGGCCAGGCCACACACCCCGUUGCUGCCCCUGCCCCGGGCUCAGUGGGCUCAUUACUCCAGUCGGCGGGGCGGGACCCUGCAGGGCUGGAGGCCCCCGUGUCCUAUCCAUGCCCCGACGGUCUGCAUGUCUGCCCGCUGACAGAUGUGUCCUGAGCCAGGCCCCAGGUCUCGGCCGGCAGCUGGACGCCGUGGGGGGUUGGGGUGGGGGUCCCUAAGCAGGGGUCGGCCUGUACCCUGAGGAGAGGAGCUCGGCUGCGCAUCUGUCUGUGGCCUGGGUUUCUGGGCCAGGAUCGGCUGGCACUAGGGGCCGCCCCUGCCCUCUACAGCCUCGCGGUCCCCACACACCUGUGGCGUGGCCCACAGCGCCUUCUCCCCAGGAGCCAGCCCUCCCUGCCCGCUCCCACUGGGCCCUGUGUCCCUGCCAUCACCCUCUCUGGGGUCCUGGGCUGAACCCUGCGGUGGGACGGCCCUGCCCCAGCUCAGCCCCUCCCACCUGCCCCUCGCUGGCCGUCACUGCCCCUUGUCCCUCCCACUUGUCUGCCAGCCACUUGUUCUCCUCCCACUUGGGGUCUCAGAGGCCCUGCUGCUGCAGGGGGCAAGAGUGGGGGUCCUGGCCGGACCUGGGGGAUGACAAACAUGGAGAGACUGGUGGGGGCCUGUGGGGGAGCUCUGGCCACCCCGGCGGGCCUCUGGCAGGGGCAGGAGCCGUGGCAGCUCGGGCAGUGGUGGCCAAGGACACAGCCAGUGGGAGGAGGUGUGGGCCCUUGGUGGGGUUGGGGGGAAGAGAGGUUCUGGCUGGGGCCUGAGGCAGCGCGUGAUGUGGGCGGUGCUGGGUCCCUGGGCCGGCCUCCUGCUUCUCUGGCAGACCCAGCCUCGUUCCUCUUUCUGCUUGAAUAAGUCAUCCUGUCCCUGUUCAUGGGGCAAUAAUUUUAAUAAAGUGCUUUUUUUCCUGUGAGCCCAGAGCGCAAGACUUCAUCUCAGCUCAGGAACAUGCCCGUUGCCAGCAGCUCUAUUGAGGGCACCCAUGAAUCUCUCUUAUUUGUGGCUCCAAAAAUGAGGCCAUGGGCUAUUGCUGUGCCUCGUUCUUUAAUUAAGCAGAUGUGAGAACAGCAGAGGGGCCAGGGCGCCAGGUAAGGGGAGGUGCCAGCGGGAGGGGCCCGGGGCUGGAGGGGACGGUUGGGCCAGCUGCCACUGCAGGAGCCUCCGGCCAGGCUCACCCUCCUGCGCUGGGCAACUCUCACCCCCGGCCUGCCUCGUCUCCCCUCUUUCCUGAAACACUCUGUCAUUCGUGCAAGACGCUGCCCUGCAGGGACGGCCACGUCCACCCCUUCCCAAGGAUGGGAGGGGAGCGGCGCACGCACGCUUUACUGCGGCUCAAACAAUUAAGGCAAUAAAACAGCCUUUCUGUUUACUGAA
rnacentral:lncRNA from 1 species